rnacentral:misc_RNA from 1 species
CCCUAUUCUCCCUUUUAUACACCCCAUGCAUUUCAUUUUAAUAUUCCUUUCUUUUCCUUUCAAAAUUACAAUUCCAUGGGCUAUCUGUGAUGAUCCAAAAUUCGAAUUGUCCUCUUAACACAAAAUGAAAUAUCAGAUUUCAAAACAAAGUUCAUCCAUUGUACAUAGGAAGAUAUGUACAUUCAUUUAUACUAAUUAAGUUCUUAUUCCCAAUAUGAAAAUUGACUAGAG